rnacentral:tRNA from 1 species
AACCCUGUAGGUUAAUUAAACUACAUAAUUUGCUUUUAUGUGAUAGGGGGUUG